rnacentral:rRNA from 1 species
UACGUAGGGUGCGAGCGUUGUCCGGAAUUAUUGGGCGUAAAGGGCUCGUAGGCGGUUUGUCGCGUCGGGAGUGAAAACCAGGUGCUUAACACCUGGCUUGCUUUCGAUACGGGCAGACUAGAGGUAUUCAGGGGAGAACGGAAUUCCUGGUGUAGCGGUGAAAUGCGUAGAUAUCGAUCGGAACACCCAUGGCGAAGGCAGCUCGCUGGCCUGCAACUGACGCUGAGACGCGAAAGCGUGGGGAGCAAACAGG